GAUGAAGGACGUAGCGAAAUGCGAUACUUGGUGUGAAUUGCAGAAUCCCGUGAACCAUCGAGUCUUUGAACGCAAGUUGCGCCCGAAGCCAUUAGGCCGAGGGCACGCCUGCCUGGGCGUCACACGUCGUUGCCCCCCCAUCUACUCCUUCGGGAUUGCGGGGGGCGGAUGAUGGCCUCCCGUGCGCCUCGUCGCGCGGUUGGCAUAAAUGCCAAGUCCUCGGCGACGCACGCCACGACAAUCGGUGGUUGCGAAACCUCGGUUGCCCGUCGUGUGCGGUCGUCGCGCAUCGAGGGCUCGAAAAAAUUGCCGGGCUCCGGCUCGGCUUUCAACGCGACCCCAGGUCAGGCGGGGUUACCCGCUGAAUUUAAGCAUAUCAAUAAGCGGAGGA
rnacentral:misc_RNA from 1 species